rnacentral:rRNA from 1 species
CUAAGGAGGGGGAUAACCCCGGGAAACUGGGGAUAAUACCCCAUAGACUAGAGAAGCUGGAAUGCUCUCAAGUCCAAAGGUCCGCCGCCUUAGGAUGGGUCUGCGGUCGAUUAGGUUGUUGUUGGGGUAACGGCCCAACAAGCCCGUGAUCGAUACGGGUUGUGAGAGCAAGAGCCCGGAGAUGGAUUCUGAGACACGAAUCCAGGCCCUACGGGGCGCAGCAGGCGCGAAAACUUUACAAUGCGGGAAACCGUGAUAAGGGAACCCCGAGUGCCCGUAAAUUCGGGCUGUCCAUCAGCGUAAAUAACUGGUGAAGAAAGGGCCGGGCAAGACCGGUGCCAGCCGCCGCGGUAAUACCGGCGGCUCGAGUGGUGGCCACUAUUACUGGGCUUAAAGCGUCCGUAGCUUGGUUGUUAAGUCUCUUGGGAAAUCUACCGGCUUAACCGGUAGGCGUUCAGGAGAAACUGGCAAUCUAGGGACCGGGAGAGGUGAGAGGUACUCCAGGGGUAGGAGUGAAAUCCUGUAAUCCUUGGGGGACCACCUGUGGCGAAGGCGUCUCACUAGAACGGCUCCGACAGUGAGGGACGAAAGCUGGGGGAGCAAACCGGAUUAGAUACCCGGGUAGUCCCAGCUGUAAACGAUGCGCGUUAGGUGUAUCGGUGACCACGAUUCACCGAGGUGCCGAAGGGAAACCGUGAAACGUGCCGCC